rnacentral:rRNA from 1 species
CACGUAGGGGGCGAGCGUUGUCCGGAUUCAUUGGGCGUAAAGGGCGCGCAGGCGGCCCGGAAAGUCGGAUGUGAAAUCUCCCGGCUCAACUGGGAGGGGUCAUUCGAUACUGGCGGGCUCGAGGCCGGUAGGGGGAAGUGGAAUUCCCGGUGUAGUGGUGGAAUGCGUAGAUAUCGGGAGGAACACCAGUGGCGAAGGCGGCUUCCUGGACCGGUUCUGACACUGAGGAGCGAAAGCGUGGGGAGCGAUCCGG